UACGUAGGUGGCAAGCGUUGUCCGGAUUUACUGGGCGUAAAGAGCGCGCAGGCGGUCAGAUAAGUCGAAUGUGAAAGCCCCCGGCUCAACUGGGGAGGGUCAUUCGAUACUGUUCGACUCGAAGGCAGGAGAGGGAAGUGGAAUUCCCGGUGUAGUGGUGAAAUGCGUAGAUAUCGGGAGGAACACCAGUGGCGAAGGGGACUUCCUGGCCUGUUCUUGACGCUGAGGCGCGAAAGCUAGGGGAGCAAACGGG
rnacentral:rRNA from 1 species